AUUGAACGCUGGCGGCAGGCCUAACACAUGCAAGUCGAGCGGAUGAAGGGAGCUUGUUCCUGGAUUCAGCGGCGGACGGGUGAGUAAUGCCUAGGAAUCUGCCUGGUAGUGGGGGAUAACGUCCGGAAACGGGCGCUAAUACCGCAUACGACCUGAGGGUGAAAGUGGGGGAUCUUCGGACAUCACGCUAUCAGAUGAGCCUAGGUCGGAUUAGCUAGUUGGUGGGGUAAAGGCCUACCAAGGCGACGAUCCGUAACUGGUCUGAGAGGAUGAUCAGUCACACUGGAACUGAGACACGGUCCAGACUCCUACGGGAGGCAGCAGUGGGGAAUAUUGGGCAAUGGGCGAAAGCCUGAUCCAGCCAUGCCGCGUGUGUGAAGAAGGUCUUCGGAUUGUAAAGCACUUUAAGUUGGGAGGAAGGGCAGUAAGUUAAUACCUUGCUGUUUUGACGUUACCAACAGAAUAAGCACCGGCUAACUUCGUG
rnacentral:rRNA from 1 species